UGGGGAAUUUUGGACAAUGGGGGAAACCCUGAUCCAGCCAUCCCGCGUGUGCGAUGAAGGCCUUCGGGUUGUAAAGCACUUUUGGCAGGAAAGAAACGUCAUGGGUUAAUACCCCGUGAAACUGACGGUACCUACAGAAUAAGCACCGGCUAACUACGUGCCAGCAGCCGCGGUAAUACGUAGGGUGCAAGCGUUAAUCGGAAUUACUGGGCGUAAAGCGUGCGCAGGCGGUUCGGAAAGAAAGAUGUGAAAUCCCAGAGCUCAACUUUGGAACUGCAUUUUUAACUACCGGGCUAGAGUGUGUCAGAGGGAGGUGGAAUUCCGCGUGUAGCAGUGAAAUGCGUAGAUAUGCGGAGGAACACCGAUGGCGAAGGCAGCCUCCUGGGAUAACACUGACGCUCAUGCACGAAAGCGUGGGGAGCAAACAGG
rnacentral:rRNA from 1 species